AAUAAACCAAUUUUUUAUUUUUUACCUAUAAUUUUUGACUCUUCGUUUUAUUCAAAUUUUUUUUGUGAUUGAUAUUUUUGUUUUUAUUAGAUGAUAAAUCAUGAAUAGUAUUUUACGUGUGACUAAUUUUCUUCUAAUUUCCUAAAAAAAUUUCAAAUAAGACGGAUGGUCAAACGUUGGACACGGAAACCGGAGAAUUGACUUUUU
rfam:Oryza brachyantha chromosome 3, whole genome shotgun sequence.